rnacentral:lncRNA from 1 species
AUUACCGGGGCAUAGUUGGAGAUUUACCACAAUACUCUCUCUAGCUUUUUUCUGAACUCUAGCUGGAUGGUUCAACUCAGCUGUUCUGGCUCAAACUCUUCUCCAGUCUCUUACUCAAUUUGGCUUAUUUCAGCUUCUCACUGAAUUGCUCUGCUUAGCCUUAAACUAACUAGCAUUUUAUUCUAAUCUUCUGGCUCCUUAUCCUCUGGCUUAUUCUAUCUUCCUAAAACAUCUCUCUAUAAAACUGCUUCCUCUCUGUUGUCUUGAGAGUUGGGCAUAUCCUACUCUCUGACUCAUUCGGUCAAAUCUUUGAUUAGUCACUUUCUCUGCCCCUCAACUAGCUAUCACUUUCAAACAUGACUGAUUCCAUCUAUAAACUAACCUUACUUUUCUUUCUUUUUUUUAAAAAAAGAUUUAUUUAUUAUUAUACAUAAGUACGUUGUAGCUGUCUUCAGACACCAGAAGAGGGUGUCAGAUCUCAUUACGGGUGGUUGUGAGCCACCGUGUGGUUGCUGGGAUUUGAACUCAGGACCUUGGAAGAACAGUUGAGCCAUCUCGCCAGCCCCUAACCUUACUUUUCAUUGUUUGGGACUAAAGGUAUGCACUAAAGAAAUGACUGCAUUCCAGCCACACCACAACUACUGUGAUCUAGGGAGUACCUGUAUUCCAGCUGAAUCACAUAAACUUAGAAAGCCUUUGGAUGUGAUCCCUUGCCAGAGCAGCCAUAUUGUUGAACUAAAAUUCCUCUACAUAACCAGUUAUAGCUUUAAUCUGUAAUACCUCCUCACUGCCAAGAUUUGUGUUGAAAGCCUAGUCCAUCCCCAGUGAAUUCGUGUUCAUAAGUGGAUCUUAAGUGUUGGGAUUCAGACCUGGAACCAAGUGGCUGAAAUGCAUAUUUUACAUAACAAAGUGAACCUGACCUCCAGGUUCUCCCACCUGUUACAGGGCACACAAUUGGCAUACCCAGCCCUCUGUCAUGAACUGUCCAGCUGACGUGCUGGGCUUCCCCACCCAUAGAAGAUCUUCCCUAUAUAACCCAGAUAUUUUGGUCUCCCUCUCUCUCCCUCCCUCUCUCCUGCAUUUUCUCUCCCUGCUUGUACACUCUUUCUCUCAUUCUCUUCCCCAUGGCAACUUCCCUGGUCUUGUUCCUUGGGACCAGUGAACCCACCCUUAUCCCUGGUCCCUUGCUCUCUGCUUCCUGGUCACCAUAAUGUGAGAAGCCAUUUCUGCUGCAUACUGUGGUUGCCUUAAUAUCUCACCCCACCUCAACACAAAGCAAUGGAACCAGCAGACCAUGGAUUGGAGCCUCUGAAACGGAGCUAGAUCACUUCUCUUUUAAGCUGAUUUCCUCAGUUAUUUUGAUAUAGUAUCAGAAAGAUAACACUUGAGUUCCUUAUUUAUCUUUCCAGAGAUAUUUUAUUAAUACUGAAGCAAAUUAUAUAUAUUACAUCCAUACAUACAUACAUAUAUAAAUAUACCUUCUACAUAUGCAAUUGUAUAUGAUAGAGUGCUUUGUUAUAAAAUCCUGACACCUUGGUAUGUGAAAUGGGAACAUAACCAUAACUAACUUUAAUAAACCAUACAGUUAUUCAAGGUGUCACAGCAAAGGAAUGAAGAAAUUUACUUUAUUAUCUAUCUAUCUAUUUUUGGAACAGGGUCUUACUAUAUAGCUCUGGCUGUCCUUGAACUCACUAUAGACCAAGCUGUCCUCAAAGUCACAGAGAUGCGCCUACUUCAGCCUCCCAAGUGGUAGUAUUCAAGGCCCAAUCCACCACAAGCCACUGAAUUGCAUUCUUUAAACUGUUGAAUACCUCCUACAGAGGAUAUUUUUAGAACUUAACACAAACAGAACUAUAUUCAUACUUGAAAGCACUUUAACAAAUCAGGGAUGAAAAUCCCAUACAGCACUUGUGGUCAGUCCAUUGUUCUCUUGCUGAGUUGGCUCUGGAAGUGUGUAUUCUACUAGUUGGUACAGUUGAUGCCGAAUGCUAUGUCCACUGAACUGGGGCCUCCCAGGGUCACCAAUCAGUACUCGGGUUCCAUGGGUCCAAAAGUAGUUCUGCAGCCACAGAUGAAGACUGUCUGCAAGGUCUUCAUCAUAAAACAUAUCUCCAAGAACAAUGAGAUCAAACUUACCUUGUUGGGUAUUCAAAAUGUUUUUAGUUAAAACAGGAAAAGGAUUCAGUCCAUUUAAUUUGCAAUUUAGUGUAAUCGCCAUUCCUGCAACUUUAGAAAACAUGAUGAAUUGGUCUGUAAGCAUGUAUCAGUAGGCUGUUUUAAUUCCUUAUUAUUUAAACACUUUUAAAAAUCUAACAUUAGGGGCCAAUGAGAAGGCUCUGCAGGUUAAGAUGCUUGCUGCUAAACCUAAAGAGUUCAACAUCUGAAGGCCAGGAAUGAUGGCACACAACUUAAAUCCCCGGUCUCAGAUGAGACAAGCAGAUCUCUGUGAUUUUAAGGCCAGCCUGGUCUUUAUAGGGAGUUCUAGGACAGCCAGGACUACAUAGAAAGACCCUGUUUCAACAAACAAAGUUCAAUAUAUGUGACACACAUGGUGGAAAGAAGGAACCAAAUCCCACACAAUGACCCUGAUCUCCCCAUGUGGUGUACACUCACAAAUGAACUAAUAAAUGUAAAAAUAAUCUAAUACUUACCUUUUGUUAAAACGGAUUUUUUUUCUUGUUUUUGUUGUUUUCAAUUUUAUUUCAUAUGUGUUUUGUCUGGAUUCAUGUCUAUGUGAGUGUAUUGGAUCCCCUGGAACUGUAGCUACAGAGAAUUGUGAGCUGCCAUGUGAGUCCUGAGAACUGAACCUGGGUCCUAUGGACGAGCAGCCAGUGCUCUUAACCACUAAGCAAUCUCUCCAGCUCCUGUUAUUUUUUAGGCAAAGAAGUUUAAAAUUUAUGCCAGUAUAAAUUACAUACUGGCUAGGCAUGAUGGUAAACACCUGUCACUCCAAGGCUUGGUAAUAUACGGCAGGAAGAUUCCUGCAAGUAUGAGCCAACCUGGGAUACAAAGGGAGGUACCAAGCCAGCUGUGUCUUCAGCCUAAAACCUUCCUCAAACAAACAACAAAACAAAGAGGCUGGACAUGGUGGCACAUGCCUAUAACCCCAAAGGUGGAAUUAGGAAGAUCAUAAAUUCAAGGUUAUCCUUAGUUAAAGAACUAAGAGACCAUCAUGGGCUAUAUGAAACUGUCUCAU